GUGCUCGCUCUGACAGCACAUAUUCUAAAAUUAGAAUGAUACAGAGAAGAUUCCUAUGGCCCCCAUGCAAGGAUGACACACAAAUUCAUGAAGAGUUCCAUAUUUUU
rnacentral:snRNA from 1 species